CCUACGGGAGGCAGCAGUGAGGAAUAUUGGUCAAUGGACGAGAGUCUGAACCAGCCAAGUAGCGUGAAGGAUGACUGCCCUACGGGUUGUAAACUUCUUUUAUAUGGGAAUAAAAUGUUUCACGUGUGGGAUUUUGUAUGUACCAUAUGAAUAAGGAUCGGCUAACUCCGUGCCAGCAGCCGCGGUAAUACGGAGGAUCCGAGCGUUAUCCGGAUUUAUUGGGUUUAAAGGGAGCGUAGGUGGAAUGUUAAGCCUGUUGUGAAAGUUUGCGGCUCAACCGUAGUAUUGCAGUUGAAACUGGCAGGCUUGAGUACGGUGGAGGUAGGCGGAAUUCGUGGUGUAGCGGUGAAAUGCUUAGAUAUCACGAAGAACUCCGAUUGCGAAGGCAGCUUACUGGACUGCAACUGACACUGAGGCUCGAAAGUGUGGGUAUCAAACAGGAUUAGAUACCCGAGUAGUC
rnacentral:rRNA from 1 species